CUCUGGUGUUCCGGUUGUCACGCCAGUGGCAUUGCCGGGUAGCUAUGUUCGGAAGAGAUAACCGCUGAAAGCAUCUAAGCGGGAAACUUGCCUCAAGAUGAGAUCUCACUGGGAUCUUGAAUCCCCUAAAGGGCCGUCGAAGACUACGACGUUGAUAGGUUGGGUGUGUAAGCGCUGUGAGGCGUUGAGCUAACCAAUACUAAUUGCCCGUGAGGCUUGACCAUAUAACACCCAAGCA
rnacentral:rRNA from 1 species